CCUUUAAAGAAAGCGUAAUAGCUCACUAGUCGAGUCGGCCUGCGCGGAAGAUUUAACGGGGCUCAAACUGUGAACCGAAGCUGCGGAUAUAGACUUGUUCUAUAUGGUAGAGGAGCGUUCUGUAAGCUGUUGAAGGUAAAUCGAGAGGUUUGCUGGAGGUAUCAGAAGUGCGAAUGCUGACAUGAGUAACGAUAAAGGGAGUGAGAGACUCCCUCGCCGAAAGUCCAAGGGUUCCUGCUCAACGCUAAUCGGAGCAGGGUUAGUCGGCCCCUAAGGCGAGGCCGAAAGGCGUAGUCGAUGGGAAACAGGUUAAUAUUCCUGUACUUGGUGGUAGUGACGGAUGCCGUGUGUUGUAUCUCCUUAUUGGAUUGGGGGUGCAGCGAAGGUGUUCCAGGAAAUAGCUCCACCGUAUAAACCGUACCCGAAACCGACACAGGUGGACUGGUAGAGAAUACCAAGGCGCUUGAGAGAACGAUGUUGAAGGAACUCGGCAAAAUACCUCCGUAAGUUCGCGAGAAGGAGGCCCGGUUCUAAGGCAACUUGGAGCUGGGGGCACAAACCAGGGGGUGGCGACUGUUUACUAAAAACACAGGGCUCUGCGAAGCUGCGAAAGCGCAGUAUAGG
rnacentral:rRNA from 14 species